GGGUUAGUAACUUAAUUGGUAGAGGACCCGCUUGUCACGCGAGUAGAUGCCGGAUCGAGACCGGUCUAACCCG
rfam:Byssochlamys spectabilis No. 5 DNA, contig: PVAR5_00326_1.